rnacentral:rRNA from 1 species
UACGUAGGGUGCAAGCGUUGUCCGGAAUUAUUGGGCGUAAAGGGUGUGUAGGUGGCGCGCUAAGUCGGGUGUGAAAUUUCGGAGCUUAACUCCGAAACUGCAUUCGAUACUGGCGUGCUUGAGGACUGGAGAGGAGACUGGAAUUCAUGGUGUAGCAGUGAAAUGCGUAGAGAUCAUGAGGAAGACCAGUGGCGAAGGCGGGUCUCUGGACAGUUCCUGACGCUGAGGCACGAAGGCCAGGGGAGCAAACGGG